rnacentral:rRNA from 1 species
CAGCAGCCACGGGAAUACGUAGGGUGCGAGCGUUAAUCGGAAUUACUGGGCGUAAAGCGUGCGCAGGCGGUUGUGUAAGACAGGUGUGAAAUCCCCGGGCUUAACCUGGGAACUGCGCUUGUGACUGCACAGCUAGAGUAUGGCAGAGGGGGGUGGAAUUCCACGUGUAGCAGUGAAAUGCGUAGAGAUGUGGAGGAACACCGAUGGCGAAGGCAGCCCCCUGGGCCAAUACUGACGCUCAUGCACGAAAGCGUGGGGAGCAAACAGGAUUAGAUACCCGCGUAGUCCCUGUCUCUUAUAC